CCUACGGGGCGCUGCAGUGAGGAAUAUUGGUCAAUGGGCUUACGCCUGAACCAGCCAAGUCGCGUGAGGGAAGACUGCCCUAUGGGUUGUAAACCUCUUUUGUCAGGGAGCAACGCCGGCUACGUGUAGCCGGACUGAGAGUACCUGAAGAAAAAGCAUCGGCUAACUCCGUGCCAGCAGCCGCGGUAAUACGGAGGAUGCGAGCGUUAUCCGGAUUUAUUGGGUUUAAAGGGUGCGUAGGCGGAAUGCCAAGUCAGCGGUAAAAUCGCGGGGCUCAACCUCGCUCCGCCGUUGAAACUGGCGUGCUUGAGUGGGCGAGAAGUAUGCGGAAUGCGUGGUGUAGCGGUGAAAUGCAUAGAUAUCACGCAGAACUCCGAUUGCGAAGGCAGCAUACCGGCGCCCAACUGACGCUGAAGCACGAAAGCGUGGGUAUCGAACAGGAUUAGAUACCCUUGUAGUC
rnacentral:rRNA from 1 species